GAGGAGGAGGAGAGGCUGAGGUGUUGGAAGAGGGAGGAGUGAGUUUGGGAAAGAGACUGGUCGAGUUUGGGGCAGGAUGGUCGGAGGCCGGAGUAGGACUGCGACAGGGAUUUAGGGCCGGAGAGUUGGGAGGCGAGAGAUGUGGAGGCCACCGCCAUUUGGAAUUCUGAGAGAGAGAGAGUGAGAGAGUCACAGUGAAUUUGUGGUGGGUUGGAUUUUAUGGUGACCAGAUGGGUUGUUAGGAUAGGAUGCGUCACGCGGUUGGUUGGGAGCGUUUGUUGCACGCGAAUACAAUUGAUUUUACUGUUUUACCAACCAGCCUUUCUUGUUUUCUCAGGCCAAACCUAGCUGUUAGGUACCCGCCAACGCUCGCCUUGCUGUCUUUUUCUAGUGAAAGCAUGUUAUUGAUGUAGUGAGGCGGAUGGUUCUUCUGGUAAUACAAGGUUACUGGUUUGAACCCUAGCUACUAUUUAUGUAUGUUAAAUGUGAUGUUCAAAGAAAACGUAGUUUCUCUUUAGAUUAAGUAAAAAGACCACUUUGAUUACUCGGUAAUGAUUAAAGAUGACUACAAGAUUGUCAAAAUCAUUUCACAAUUUAUGGGACUAUAUGUGGUUUCCUGAUUGGUGUGAAAAUAUUUACUGCAUUGUAAUGUUUCAAGGUGAAUGCAACUCUAAUGCAGUAAGGUACUAGAAAUGGUUGUUAAGCAUUCGUCAUGCACGCUUGGCUAGAUGGCUAUUCAGAGCAUUAUAAUAUAUGUCAACUUAUAGCUCAGAACUUGACAAUGAUGAGGUAAUUGUGUGAUGCAGAUCUGUUGAAGUGUCGGUACAAACGAAGAAGCACAGUUAAGGCUGUUGAGAAACUGAGGUCAUGUUUCGGCCAUUUACUUUGGUCUUUCCAAACCGACGAAAUAGUUCUAUUCACUUUGGAUAUAAAUCUUUGAAUGAAACUGAGAACUUACCAUUUGGGCAGGGCAUUUGUCAGUCUUUCAUACAAGCAUUCAUUCAUAGUUUCACAUCUCACGAGAGACUCAGGGAUUUGGGGUCGGGAUUUGCACCACAUCCUAUUCACAAGUCCCUUUCACCAUUUAUAACUCCUUCAUAUGUCUACCCGCCAUCACAGAUGGCAUUUUUGGACCGCACUCUCAAAGUCUCAGACAUAAAUAUGGCAGCACAAAUGUUCAAAUGACAUGGCUUUCUAUCCCAAAAUAGAUCACCGACUCAUACACUGAUUCAGGCUCAGGUUCCAAGUUCUUCAUAAAACAUAAAUGCAGACCAGACUAUUGCAUAUUUCAUAUCACAUUUCACAAGAGGGGCUAGCAAUGAGUCUUGGACAAAACAAGAACAGGUUGGCAGCUAGGUUGAAGUUUUGGUACAAACCAAGACGCACAUAUAAUAGAGUUGAGAGAUCAGCUUAGCUGCUUCUGUACAAGUGACUGCACCCAAAAUAAGUAAAAGAAAUGAAAAGAAGAGGGACUACUCACAGAACCAAACUUCCAUUCAUAAUAAAUUACAGAACUCUUACAAGUAUAUUCCUGAAAGUCCUUGUAUUGUUAACUGCCUAUGAUGAGGAAGGGAGAUGUCUACCUACAAGUACAACUAGCCAUACAAGGCUUCACAGUAUUCUUUAGAGUCUAAACAAUUAAUUAACCUCUCAUCGUCGAGUAAUACCAAACUUUCAUUGUAAGUGUGCACUUGACUGCGAGUGUGCACUGGUAAUAAGAUUGGAGUUCUAAGAAGCUGCUUGGAUUCGGGGACAAAUAGAGCCAGCUGAUAGUUGUCGUCAUCAUCCUCAAGCACUUCCACAAGAAGUUGAUUAUCCAUAGUAAAUCCCAAGGGGAUACAAGUACCCGAACUCGGAAGAACAAUAGUUUGCAACAAGUUGAAAGUCUGUUCUUGCAGAAGCCAUACAUAUAUAUGUCCUCCAUCAUCAUCUUCACAUGAACAAUAAUCCACUUCUAGCAAGCAAAUCGAAUCCUUGUACACUUCAAUAUACAAACCACCAUCCACAUUGGCAAUAGCCUCUGGCACCCUAAAGUGUUCAAAUUCUUCAUUACCUGUAUCAAAUGACAAAAUUCUAAAUACGGAUGCUUCUGCGCUAACUUCCUCAGCAAGCCAAUACGAGAUCCCAUUCAAAACUGCACAUUUAGCACAGGGUUUCCAGUCCCAGUCCAACCGCAUUACUUCAUUCAUCUUCCAAGAGUUUGUACUAAAAGUAUAAACCUGCACUCCCAAAGCGAUCUUCACAUCCAGAUCACCCUCUUCGACAACAUCAAAACACUGCAGCAUUACCACCUUAUAGUCCUUAAGCACCGGAUGGAACCCAAAAGAGAGAACAGUGUCAAAACAGUAAUGAUCCAAAUGAAACAAUGUCGGUUGAGGAAGAAUCCUAAACUUCCUGAUAGACGGAUUCCAUAUACAUAUGGGACUCUGCGUCACCACAUCCGAAUCCGAGAUACAAAGCAACCCAUUACUCGAACCAUAAAUCACACAACGUGAUGCGGUCGACAAGGAGCAUUUCAACCUCAAGCACUGCUCGAAUCUACCUAUUGUCGUCCACAAGGGGUGUUCCAACUUCAAGCACUGCUCAAAUGUUUCACUAGAGUAAAGAUUGUACUGGCAAAGGUCUGGUUCAACUGUCGAAGGGUCAACCGGGUAAUUAGCAAUGAGAUACCUAUUGGAAUAUCUUGUCAUGUUCUUACUAAGAUGGUUGGUGAUAAAGCUCGAGCUGCGAAUCACAUCACGCCAGGACUUGGAUACACAACUAAACCGAAUUAGGGACUUCACCGGCAGUCUAAGCAGGAUUUCGAUUAAGAUUUCUUCAGAAAUGAAAACAGGGCUACUCUUCCAGCUUUUGUUUCCCAUUCUGAGAUCAAAAUCACUACUUGUUAUUGGUAAUGAGCAACAUAGAGGAUACGACUUUUCUAACAAAAGGGUAUCUCAAUUGUGUGUAUUAUAUCAAAGAUUCAUCUUUAUAAAGACUAAUUCUUUACCACAACCCAUGAAAACCCAUCAAAAUGUUUACUCUUUUCUUCUUGCAAUUGAUGGAAGUAUUACAAAACUAAAGCAGUAAUUAUGUGUCUGAAUCAGAUACCAAAUAUGAAGAAAAAUUGGAUGACUUAGAUCUGGGAUGAGACAGCCACAGAAAAGUGAUCAAAGAAAGCAAUGGUACCUGAGAGAGUGAGAAGAACUGGAGGGUUCUAGGUGAACUUGAGAGAGGGUUCUUGAUUCUUGUUGUGGAGAAUUAUAUGGUAGGUAGGGAAGGGGAGAGGGAGAGAGAGAGG
rnacentral:lncRNA from 1 species